AUUGAACGCUGGCGGCAUGCCUUACACAUGCAAGUCGAACGGCAGCAUGAUCUAGCUUGCUAGAUUGAUGGCGAGUGGCGAACGGGUGAGUCAUACAUCGGAACGUGCCCUGUAGUGGGGGAUAACUAGUCGAAAGAUUAGCUAAUACCGCAUACGUCCUGAGGGUGAAAGUGGGGGACCGCAAGGCCUCAUGCUAUAGGAGCGGCCGAUGUCUGAUUAGCUAGUUGGUGAGGUAAAGGUUCACCAAGGCGACGAUCAGUAGCUGGUCUGAGAGGACGAUCAGCCACACUGGGACUGAGACACGGCCCAGACUCCUACGGGAGGCAGCAGUGGGGAAUUUUGGACAAUGGGCGAAAGCCUGAUCCAGCAAUGCCGCGUGUGUGAAGAAGGCCUUCGGGUUGUAAAGCACUUUUGUCCGGAAAGAAAUGGCUCUAGUUAAUACCUGGGGUCGAUGACGGUACCGGAAGAAUAAGGACCGGCUAACUACGUG
rnacentral:rRNA from 1 species